GACGAACGCUGGCGGCGUGCUUAACACAUGCAAGUCGAACGAAGUGGCGAACGGGUGAGUACUACGUGGGUAACCUGCCCUCCUUUUUGGGAUAAGCCUUGGAAACGGGGUAUAAUACCGAAUAAAGGGGGAUGGGCUCGCGGCCUAUCAGCUUGUUGGGGGGUGGAUGGCCUACGAUGGCGGUGAGGGGUAGCCGGCCUGAGAGGGUGACCGGCCACAUUGGGACUGAGAGACGGCCCAGGCUCCUACGGGAGGGAGAAGUGGGGGAUAUUGCACAAUGGGCGAAAGCCUGAUGCGGGGACGCCGCGUGGGGGAUGAAGGCUUUCGGGUUGUAAACCUGUGUCGCUAUCGAGCGGGUAGGUGGAGAAGAAGCGCCGGCUAACUACGUGCCAGCAGCCGCGGUAAUAC
rnacentral:rRNA from 1 species